CAGAAAAUAGAUUAGUUAAGAAUUCAGAAUUUGGGAACUAAGGGUAGAGUUAAAAUAUCUCUUAAAUAG
rnacentral:tRNA from 1 species